AAGUAUCUCCGAGUUCACCGAGUCUGAGUCUGUCGGUGAAUAGGAGUAACGGCUGGUUGGCACAGCCUUCGACGUUCUUGUUUGACAACGAAACUGGUGCGUUCGCACCUCAAGAACACGUCACGUCGUAACCCACAAUAUCCCAACCCAGCGGUGCGGUGC
rnacentral:ncRNA from 1 species